rnacentral:tRNA from 1 species
CGACAAAUGGAUUGUUGGUAGAGCAUGGUGCUAGCAACACCAAUGUUGUGGGUUCGAUUCCCACUGUGGCCG